GGUGGGGUUCCCGAGCGGCCAAAGGGAGCAGACUGUAAAUCUGCCGUCACAGACGGCAGUUCGAAUCUGCCUAUCAGCACCA
rnacentral:tRNA from 1 species